GCCGCGUCAAGGUUGAGGAGUGACCGAGCAAGGCGGAGGAGAGCAUAUAAACUCAUCCAACACAAGCUGUUUCAGUAUAAGGUGGGCUGCAGCGCUGAUGAAAGGGUGCGCCCCACGUACAUCUACCCCCCAGUGCUGAAGCAGCUGGUCAGGGCUGUGUUCCCAGAAGAGGUGUGUGACUACACUGAUCCCAGCCACUCAACGGUGGUGCUGGUCACGAUGGAAGAUCUCAGCACUGUCAGCUUGCUUGAGCAAUGCAGGCCAUAAUGCAGCUGACAGAGAUACUGAAAUGUUAACGACUUAUAAUUGUUACAUAUGACUCAACAGGUA